UUCCUCUGUGAUCAGCUGGGUGUCCACCAAGGCACCCAGUGAAUGAUGGGAAAUAAAGGCUUACAACAGGGAUGAGGUUCUCCAGGGUUUUGGGAACUGGUGAGAAGUCUGUGGAAGGCCCCUGCAUCUGGUGGUCAGCCUGGGUCACUGCAGCCUGGAUGACACGGCCGUCUGUGAUGGUGCUGGUGUCCCCACCUGGUGGGGAUGUGGAGACGCCAAGGGAGGAGCCGCUGAUGGGGACGCUGCUUUAAGACGACAGGGCUCCCUGGCAGGACACUUCCCUUGUGAUCAACCCUCACCCGGAACCCACACAGGAAAGGAAAUUCUGGGAGUGUGGUCCUUUCUGAACUCAGCUGACACAUCUGGCUGGAACUGUUGCUCCCAAUAUCUUUCCCG